rnacentral:rRNA from 1 species
CAGUAGCCGCGGUAAUACGUAGGCGGCAAGCGUUGUCCGGAAUUAUUGGGCGUAAAGCGCGCGCAGGCGGAUCAGUCAGUCUGUCUUAAAAGUUCGGGGCUUAACCUCGUGAGGGGAUGGAAACUGCUGAUCUAGAGUAUCGGAGAGGAAAGUGGAAUUCCUAGUGUAGCGGUGAAAUGCGUAGAUAUUAGGAAGAACACCAGCGGCGAAGGCGACUUUCUGGACGAAAACUGACGCUGGGGCGCGAAAGCCAGGGGAGCGAACGGGAUUAGAUACCCGUGUAGUCCCUGUCUCUUAUACC